rnacentral:rRNA from 1 species
UACGUAGGUCCCGAGCGUUGUCCGGAUUUAUUGGGCGUAAAGCGAGCGCAGGUGGUUUAUUAAGUCUGGUGUAAAAGGCAGUGGCUCAACCAUUGUAUGCAUUGGAAACUGGUAGACUUGAGUGCAGGCGAGGAGAGUGGAAUUCCAUGUGUAGCGGUGAAAUGCGUAGAUAUAUGGAGGAACACCGGUGGCGAAAGCGGCUCUCUGGCCUGUAACUGACACUGAGGCUCGAAAGCGUGGGGAGCAAACAGG